rnacentral:rRNA from 1 species
UACGUAGGGGGCGAGCGUUGUCCGGAUUUAUUGGGCGUAAAGAGCGUGUAGGCGGCCAGGUAGGUCCGUUGUGAAAACUCGAGGCUCAACCUCGAGACGUCGAUGGAAACCAUCUGGCUAGAGUCCGGAAGAGGAGAGUGGAAUUCCUGGUGUAGCGGUGAAAUGCGCAGAUAUCAGGAAGAACACCUAUGGCGAAGGCAGCUCUCUGGGACGGUACUGACGCUGAGGGACGAAAGCUAGGGGAGCGAAAGGG